UAGGGAAUCUUCGGCAAUGGACGAAAGUCUGACCGAGCAACGCCGCGUGAGUGAAGAAGGUUUUCGGAUCGUAAAACUCUGUUGUUAGAGAAGAACAAGGACGUUAGUAACUGAACGUCCCCUGACGGUAUCUAACCAGAAAGCCACGGCUAACUACGUGCCAGCAGCCGCGGUAAUACGUAGGUGGCAAGCGUUGUCCGGAUUUAUUGGGCGUAAAGCGAGCGCAGGCGGUUUCUUAAGUCUGAUGUGAAAGCCCCCGGCUCAACCGGGGAGGGUCAUUGGAAACUGGGAGACGUGAGUGCAGAAGAGGAGAGUGGAAUUCCAUGUGUAGCGGUGAAAUGCGUAGAUAUAUGGAGGAACACCAGUGGCGAGGGCGGCUCUCUGGUCUGUAACUGACGCUGAGGCUCGAAAGCGUGGGGAGCAAACAGG
rnacentral:rRNA from 1 species